rnacentral:rRNA from 1 species
UACGAAGGGGGGCUAGCGUUGUUCGGAAUUACUGGGCGUAAAGCGCGCGCAGGCGGCUAUCCAAGUCAGUGGUGAAAGCCCGGAGCUCAACUCCGGAACUGCCAUUGAAACUGUUUAGCUUGAGGAUGAGAGAGGUGAGUGGAAUUCCCAGUGUAGAGGUGAAAUUCGUAGAUAUUGGGGAAGAACACCGGUGGCGAAGGCGGCACUCUGGGACGGUACUGACGCUGAGGCGGACGAAAGCGGUGGGGAGCCAAACAGGAUU